ACCUAGCGGCGGACGGGUGAGUAAUGCUUAGGAAUCUGCCUAUUAGUGGGGGACAACAUUCCGAAAGGAAUGCUAAUACCGCAUACGCCCUACGGGGGAAAGCAGGGGAUCUUCGGACCUUGCGCUAAUAGAUGAGCCUAAGUCAGAUUAGCUAGUUGGUGGGGUAAAGGCCUACCAAGGCGACGAUCUGUAGCGGGUCUGAGAGGAUGAUCCGCCACACUGGGACUGAGACACGGCCCAGACUCCUACGGGAGGCAGCAGUGGGGAAUAUUGGACAAUGGGCGGAAGCCUGAUCCAGCCAUGCCGCGUGUGUGAAGAAGGCCUUUUGGUUGUAAAGCACUUUAAGCGAGGAGGAGGCUACUUGGAUUAAUACUCUAGGAUAGUGGACGUUACUCGCAGAAUAAGCACCGGCUAACUCUGUGCCAGCAGCCGCGGUAAUACAGAGGGUGCGAGCGUUAAUCGGAUUUACUGGGCGUAAAGCGUGCGUAGGCGGCUUUUUAAGUCGGAUGUGAAAUCCCUGAGCUUAACUUAGGAAUUGCAUUCGAUACUGGGAAGCUAGAGUAUGGGAGAGGAUGGUAGAAUUCCAGGUGUAGCGGUGAAAUGCGUAGAGAUCUGGAGGAAUACCGAUGGCGAAGG
rnacentral:rRNA from 1 species